rnacentral:lncRNA from 1 species
AUAAGGUGGGGUUGAUUUUGGACGAAAAUAAGUAAAUUAAAACAAGAACAAUGUAAAUAGAUUCUUAGACAAAAUUAGGUGAAUUGAUGAGAUAUGGGGUAACUAGAGGGUUCUUCUCCACACAUGAUACACUUGCAUUCAAAUUUGAUUUCCAAUUGCUUCUUUCAAUAAACCAAGAAUCUCAACGCCCUAGGUUAACUGUGAUAACACUUUUUUUAACCUUCAAGUCUUCCUUAAGUUAUUGAAUUGGAUGGGAAUGCACAUGCAACAACUCAAAACAUUCUUUAAAAGUCCCUUACGUGAAAAGCACAAUAAAGAUACAAUCAAAGAUCAUUAACCUUCAUGAAAACUAUAAGCAUUGACGAGGCAAUUGUUACUGUGAAAAGCAUGAAGCGUUUGCCAAGAAUUCACUUAA